CCUCAGUACUGCGGAGGGACAUUACACAAAUAUGAAGGCGGGCUGGAACCUCUCGGGGUUACAGCCUUGCUGAAUUAUUCACCCUUGUCUUUUGCGUACUUCUUGUUUCCUUGGUGGGUUCGCCCACCACUAGGACAAACAUAAACCUUUUGUAAUUGCAAUCAGCGUCAGUAACAAAUUAAUAAUUACAACUUUCAACAACGGAUCUCUUGGUUCUGGCAUCGAUGAAGAACGCAGCGAAAUGCGAUAAGUAGUGUGAAUUGCAGAAUUCAGUGAAUCAUCGAAUCUUUGAACGCACAUUGCGCCCUUUGGUAUUCCAAAGGGCAUGCCUGUUCGAGCGUCAUUUGUACCCUCAAGCUUUGCUUGGUGUUGGGCGUCUUGUCUCUAGCUUUGCUGGAGACUCGCCUUAAAGUAAUUGGCAGCCGGCCUACUGGUUUCGGAGCGCAGCACAAGUCGCACUCUCUAUCAGCAAAGGUCUAGCAUCCAUUAAGCCUUUUUUUCAACUUUUGACCUCGGAUCAGGUAGGGAUACCCGCUGAACUUAAGCAUAUCAAAAGGCGGGAGGAAUAA
rnacentral:rRNA from 1 species